rnacentral:rRNA from 1 species
UAUUGGUCAAUGGGGGAAACCCUGAACCAGCAACGCCGCGUGAGGGAAGACGGUUUUCGGAUUGCAAACCUCUGUCCUCUGUGAAGAUAAUGACGGUAGCAGAGGAGGAAGCUCCGGCUAACUACGUGCCAGCAGCCGCGGUAAUACGUAGGGAGCAAGCGUUGUCCGGAUUUACUGGGUGUAAAGGGUGCGUAGGCGGGCUUGCAAGUCAGAAGUGAAAUCUAUGGGCUUAACCCAUAAACUGCUUUUGAAACUGUAAGUCUUGAGUGAAGUAGAGGUAGGCGGAAUUCCCGGUGUAGCGGUGAAAUGCGUAGAGAUCGGGAGGAACACCAGUGGCGAAGGCGGCCUACUGGGCUUUAACCGACGCUGAGGCACGAAAGCGUGGGUAGCAAACAGG